UACGUAGGGGGCUAGCGUUGUCCGGAAUCAUUGGGCGUAAAGCGCGUGUAGGCGGCCCGAUAAGUCCGCUGUGAAAGUCCAGGGCUCAACCCUGGGAUGCCGGUGGAUACUGUCGGGCUCGAGUCCGGAAGAGGCGAGUGGAAUUCCUGGUGUAACGGUGAAAUGCGCAGAUAUCCGAAGGAACACCGGUGGCGAAGGCGGCUUCCUGGACCGACACUGACGCUGAGGCGCGAAAGCUAGGGGAGCAAACGGG
rnacentral:rRNA from 1 species